rnacentral:misc_RNA from 2 species
ACGAGUUAGGGUCUCUCUGGCCCGACCUCCCAACCCUUUGUCUACUUGACCAUCGUUGCUUCGGCGAGCCCGUCCUCACGGACCGCCGGAGGGAUCUUUACUGGCCCUCUGGUCCGCGCUCGUCGGUAGCCCAACCUUUAAAAUCUUUAACUAAACGUGCCUUAAUCUAAGUACAAUUAUUAAAUAAAAGCA